rnacentral:tRNA from 1 species
GGGAAUGUGGCUUAGUGGUAGAGUGCUUGCCUUGUAUGUAUGAAGUCCUGGGUUCGAUUCCUCUGUACCA